AGCGAACGCUGGCGGCAGGCCUAACACAUGCAAGUCGAGCGCCGUAGCAAUACGGAGCGGCAGACGGGAUAGUAACACGUGGGAACAUGCCCUUCAGUACGGAACAACCAAGGGAAACUUUGGCUAAUACCGUAUACGCCCGUAAGGGGAAAGAUUUAUCGCUGUAGGAUUGGCCCGCGUCUGAGCAGCUAUUUGGUGGGGUAAUGGCCCACCAAUGCGACGAUCAGUAGCUGGUAUGAGAGGAUGAUCAGCACCACUGGGACUGAGACACGGCCCAGACUCCUACGGGAGGCAGCAGUGGGGAAUAUUGGACAAUGGGCGCAAGCCUGAUCCAGCCAUGCCGCGUGAGUGAUGAAGGCCUUAGGGUUGUAAAGCUCUUUCGUCAGGGAAGAUAAUGACGGUACCUGAAGAAGAAGCCCCGGCUAACUUCGUGCCAGCCGCCGCAGUAAGAC
rnacentral:rRNA from 1 species